GUUGUCCCUCGCCUAGUAAUUUGCUUUACUGGUUAUGGAUGAUUGCGAACGGUUGCCUGUAUAGUUCUACCCUCGUGGGUAGCGCAUGAUUGUCCCGUUGGUUUCUAUUUAGCUUGUUCUAUUAACGCUUGUUGACAGGACGGCCGAGAUGUUAGCGACUUCCAAGUGUUUCCAUGUACGCUGUCUUGGUAAUGCACUUGGAUGUUCGUUGGGUCUCAUGGAUGUAGUCCGUAUUGUGAGCUCUACGGGUUUCGUGCCUGCAGAACCUGUGAGGUUGCCCCUGCAUAGAACAUUGCUCUAUCGCUUCACUAACAUGUGGUGUUUUAAGCGCCGUGUUGUAGUGCUGCUAUUGGGGUGUUGUUGUUUGCCUGCGGCAUGCCUCUUAGACCAAAUGACUUGCGAUUGCUGGUUUGCGUUGUCACAAGACCCCUCCCAAUUGGGUAGGUGUUGGAGAUGACGUUCUAGCUCUCGUUUAAGACGUGCUACCUGGUUGAUCCUGCCAGUAGUCAUAUGCAUGUC
rnacentral:misc_RNA from 1 species